UGACCAUGGCUCAAGAUGAACGCUAGCUACAGGCUUAACACAUGCAAGUCGCGGGGCAGCAUGGGGGUUGCUUGCAACCCCUGAUGGCGACCGGCGCACGGGUGAGUAACGCGUAUCCAACCUGCCCUUCACCACGGGAUAACCCGGCGAAAGUCGGACUAAUACCGUAUGUUGUCCAUUGACGGCAUCCGAUUUGGACGAAAGGCUUUGCGGUGAGGGAUGGGGAUGCGUCCGAUUAGCUUGACGGCGGGGUAACGGCCCACCGUGGCAACGAUCGGUAGGGGUUCUGAGAGGAAGGUCCCCCACACUGGAACUGAGACACGGUCCAGACUCCUACGGGAGGCAGCAGUGAGGAAUAUUGGUCAAUGGGCGAAAGCCUGAACCAGCCAAGUAGCGUGCAGGAUGACGGCCCUAUGGGUUGUAAACUGCUUUUAUGCGGGGAUAAAGGAGCCCACGUGUGGGCUUUUGCAGGUACCGCAUGAAUAAGGACCGGCUAAUUCCGUGCCAGCAGCCGCGGUAAUACGGAAGGUCCGGGCGUUAUCCGGAUUUAUUGGGUUUAAAGGGAGCGUAGGCCGCCCCUUAAGCGUGUUGUGAAAUGCGGGUGCUCAACAUCCGACUUGCAGCGCGAACUGGGGGGCUUGAGUGCGCCGAAAGUAGGCGGAAUUCGUGGUGUAGCGGUGAAAUGCUUAGAUAUCACGAAGAACUCCGAUUGCGAAGGCAGCUUACUGUAGCGCAACUGACGCUGAUGCUCGAAAGCGUGGGUAUCGAACAGGAUUAGAUACCCUGGUAGUCCACGCGGUAAACGAUGGGUGCUCGUUGUCGGCCUGUGUGGUCGGUGACCAAGCGAAAGCGUUAAGCAUCCCACCUGGGGAGUACGCCGGCAACGGUGAAACUCAAAGGGAUUGACGGGGGCCCGCACAAGCGGAGGAACAUGUGGUUUAAUUCGAUGAUACGCGAGGAACCUUACCAAGGUUUAAAUGGGGACUGACAGGGGUAGAGAUACCUUUUUCUUCGGACAGUUUUCAAGGUGCUGCAUGGUUGUCGUCAGCUCGUGCCGUGAGGUGUCAGGUUAAGUCCUAUAACGAGCGCAACCCCUGCCAUUAGUUGCUAACGAGUUAAGUCGAGCCCUCUAAUGGGACUGCCGGUGCAAACCGAGAGGAAGGUGGGGAUGACGUCAAAUCAUCACGGCCCUUACAUCUUGGGCUACACACGUGCUACAAUGGCCGUUACAGAGAGCAGCCACUGCGUGAGCAGGCGCGAAUCUAUAAAGACGGUCACAGUUCGGAUCGGAGUCUGCAACUCGACUCCGUGAAGCUGGAAUCGCUAGUAAUCGGAUAUCAGCCAUGAUCCGGUGAAUACGUUCCCGGGCCUUGUACACACCGCCCGUC
rnacentral:rRNA from 1 species